GAUGAACGCUGGCGGCGUGCCUAAUACAUGCAAGUCGAGCGAACAGACGAUGAGCUUGCUCCUCUGACGUUAGCGGCGGACGGGUGAGUAACACGUGGAUAACCUACCUAUAAUACUGGGAUAACUUCGGGAAACAGGUGCUACUACCGGAUAAUAUAUUGAACCGCAUGGUUCAAUAGUGCAUGACGGUUUUGCUGUCUCUUAUAGAUGGAUCCGCGCCGCAUUAGCUACUUGGUAAGGUCACGGCUUACCAAGGCAACGAUGCGUAGCCGACCUGAUAGGGUGAUCGGGCACACCGGAAACGAGACACGGUCCAGACCCCCAAGGGAAGGAGCAGUAGGGAAUCUUCCGCAAUGGGCGAAAACCUGACGGAGCAAAGCCGCGGGAGUGAUAGAGGUCUUCGGAGCGGAAAACUCUGUUAGAAGGGAAGAACAAAUGUGUAAGUAACUAUGCACGUCUUGACGGUACCUAAACAGAAAGCCACGGCUAACUACGUG
rnacentral:rRNA from 1 species